CUACGUAGCUCAGAGUUUGAUCCUGGCUCAGAGCGAACACUGGCGGCAGGCCUAACACAUGCAAGUCGAACGGACCCUUCGGGGUUAGUGGCGGACGGGUGGGUAACACGUGGGAACGUACCCUUUGGUACGGAACAACUCAGGGAAACUUGAGCUAAUACCGUAUGUGCCCUUCGGGGGAAAGAUUUAUCGCCAUUGGAGCGGCCCGCGUCUGAUUAGCUAGUUGGUGAGGUAAAGGCUCACCAAGGCUACGAUCAGUAGCUGGUCUGAGAGGAUGAUCAGCCACACUGGGACUGAGACACGGCCCAG
rnacentral:rRNA from 1 species